rnacentral:hammerhead_ribozyme from 1 species
AAAUUGCUGAAGAGUCCCAUACAAGGACGAAACGGUCGUCCAGUGC